rnacentral:rRNA from 1 species
AACGUAGGUGGCGAGCGUUAUCCGGAUUUACUGGGCGUAAAGCGUGUGCAGGCGGGAUGGUAAGUGGGGUAUGAAAUCUCCCAGCUUAACUGGGAGGGGUUAUGCCAGACUGCCAUUCUAGAGUGCGAGAGAGGAAUGUGGAAUUCCGGGUGUAGCGGUGGAAUGCGUAGAGAUCCGGAAGAACACCGGUGGCGAAGGCGGCCUGCUGGGACAGUGCUGACGCUGAGGCGCGACAGCGUGGGGAGCAAACAGG